UGGGCAACCUGCCCUCAGCUCUGGGAUAACUCCAAGAAAUUGGGGCUAAUACCGGAUAUGACCGCUGACCGCAUGGUCUGGUGGUGGAAAGAUUUAUGGCUGGGGAUGGGCCCGCGGCCUAUCAGCUUGUUGGUGGGGUAGUGGCCUACCAAGGCGACGACGGGUAGCCGGCCUGAGAGGGUGACCGGCCACACUGGGACUGAGACACGGCCCAGACUCCUACGGGA
rnacentral:rRNA from 1 species